GUCUGGGGAUCUGCCUGAUGGAGGGGGAUAACUACUGGAAACGGUAGCUAAUACCGCAUGAUGUUACGCGACCAAAGCGGGGGACCUCCGGGCCUCGCGCCAUCAGAUGAACCCAGAUGGGAUUAGCUAGUAGGAGAGGUAAUGGCUCCCCUAGGCGACGAUCCCUAGCUGGUCUGAGAGGAUAACCAGCCACACUGGAACUGAGAGACGGUCCAGACUCCUACGGGAGGCAGCAGUGGGGAAUAUUGCACAAUGGGCGCAAGCCUGAUGCAGCCAUGCCGCGUGUGUGAAGAAGGACUUCGGGUU
rnacentral:rRNA from 1 species